CCCAUCUCGAAGCGCCACAUGGGUCCGUCCAAGAACCACAAAGCGGAAGAUUAGAGUUCGAAGAAGCGAACGAUCACCUAAUCUAAUGAUUAAACGAUUUCAACGAACUCUGAUCAUCGCCGUUAUGUUAGCGUUACCGGUUGAGGCACAGAAGCAGUAAGUCUAUAGAUUUGAGGUAUGAUUUCCGGGAUUUUCACUUAAUUUAGGUUUAAAGUAGUUUCUAUUUGAUGUGAUUGUUAUUUUGUUCUUCACCACUCAAUUCAAUGUUAGGGUUUCUGAUAUAUUUUUGAAGUUUUUGUUAGUUUCAGUUUGCUCAUAGAUCUAAUUUUGUUUCCUCGUCUUGUUGAUUAACUGACUGGAGAUUAUAAAACUUGAAAUUUAGUAUGUGAGAUUUUGGAUUUGUAUUGAAGCUUGAGCAGUCGAAUUCGCUUUACUGAAAUGAAAAUUCAUAAUUGUGGAUAUGAUUGAGGUUUGCUGCUGUAGAAUGUUCAAUUUGGUUUCAAUGUUUCUUUGGAUGUGCUUGUUCUUUAACUGUGGGGUUGAAGAAGGAUUAGUUUAGCAUGAAAUCAAUUCAACACAGUUUUACAUAGUGCAGUCGUCAAAGUGAAAUAGUCCUUUGUUUGUACUGAAGUGAGUUUUAAUGGUUGUGAGUGAAAAUUGAUAUAGUUGAUGAAUAAUUACAGGAAAGGAAAGUCUUGGUCCUUACAAGCUAUUGCUUUCACUUGUCAUUGUAAUACGUUUGCAGGUACAGGCAUAUAGCUAACGUACAUUUGUUGAUUUCGGUGACUUUACCGGGAUCUUUGAGGAACCUUUGACUGAAAUUAAUGUGCACUAAUUUUCAUUUGAAAAUAUGCUUCCUUCCCUCCUCCCCUGGCCCAGUAUUGAGUAUCUUUUGUAAUUUGCAGGUUCUGUCUGCAUAAAGUUUGUCUUGAAGAAAAAAAAAUAGUCAAGGUUGUACUUCAUGGCCAGGAUAAAACCUCAGGCUUUGCUACUCCAAAGCAAAAAGAAGAAGGGGCCAACUCGUAUCAGUGCCACUACAAUAAUUCUGUGCAACCUAGUUGUUAUGUUGCUUGUAUUGUCCUUGGUUGCUACAUACAGGCAUUGGUCUCAGAGGUCUACGGAACAAACAGGACUAUCAAAUUUUGAGGCAUGUUUUGGGAACUUUCCGGAGAAAAGAAAAAAAAAAAACAGCAAAGAAUCCAUCUUUUCUCUUACUAUUUCAAUAAUUUCACAACAAAUGAGUUCAAAAUUAUGCUUUUUUAUCGUUCAAGUAAAUAUAUACUCAUUUAAGCUAAUUCCAUUUUAUGUGGUUCAGGACACUUCGGAUAUCUUAACAGAUUCAAAGAAGUAUGAUCUUCCGGGUUAUGCUGUAAGUUGUUGUGUUAACCUGCUCCCUGCUUUUAUCAUUCUUUCUCACACCUUUUUUAAUUAUCUUCUCUUUUACCUUAAUGGAUUUUUCCAUCGUGCUCAAAUCCUAUUUGCUUUCCUGUAUCGUUACUGGUAUUCUUUACAUUUGUUUAGUGUUGGUGUUUCAUUCCCCUGUAGGUUUUGAAUACAUCAAAGGGUUAUAUUACAGUAGAACUGUACAAAGAUGGUUCUCCUGAGAUUGUGGACAAAUUUCUCGACUCAUGUCAAAAGGGCUACUUCAAAGGGAUGCCUUUUCAUCAUGUGAUCAAACAUUAUGUAAUUCAAGGAGGGCAUUCCCAAGGUCUUGGAGGUACAGAAGAUUGGACUACAAAAGUGAAGCUUCGUAGUCGGCUUGCUACAAGCCCAAAGCAUGAGGCAUUUAUGCUUGGAACUUUGAAAACUAAAGACAGCCAAGGGUUUGAGAUAUUUAUUACCACUGCACCAAUUCCAGAUUUAAGUGAUAAGCUUAUGGUGUUUGGACGGGUCAUCAAGGGAGAGGAUGUAGUGCAGGAAAUCGAGGAGGUGGACACAGAUGAACACUAUCGGCCCAAAUCCCCUAUAGGGAUCAUCAAUGUGACUCUGAAAAGUGAAAUUUGAGUGCUAUUACUACUUGGUGUAAAUUUUUCCUAUGGGUAGUCAUAACACUCUGUGAUACCGCAUGCUGGAGAUUUCUCUCCAAGGUUGUUCAUGUGCUACAUUUUUCUUCAUACUUGCAUUUCCACUUAUCCACUCCAGUCUUUUUUGGGGUGGGGGGUUUUGGAGUUUACGGGGGCUGAAUUGUUUUGGGAAGUAAAGGGCCUUCAUAUUUUUGUGUAGGCAAAUACAACAUUCUGUUUAAUUCCAGUGAAGAUCUGUUGUGACCCCCUCUGUUAUUGUUGUUUGUCAUUUUUCAUACACUUGUUUGAUUUCUGUAAAAGGUGAUUAUUC
rnacentral:misc_RNA from 1 species